rnacentral:rRNA from 1 species
UACGAAGGGGGCUAGCGUUGUUCGGAAUCACUGGGCGUAAAGGGCGCGUAGGCGGCUGUUCAAGUCGGGGGUGAAAGCCUGUGGCUCAACCACAGAAUUGCCUCGAUACUGGACGGCUCGAGACCGGAAGAGGUCAGUGGAACUGCGAGUGUAGAGGUGAAAUUCGAUUAGAUAUUCGCAAGAACACCAGUGGCGAAGGCGGCUCACUGGCCCGGAACGUGACGCUGAGGUGCGAAAGCGUGGGGAGCAAACAGG